rnacentral:rRNA from 1 species
UACGGGGGGGGUAAGCGUUGUUCGGAAUUAUUGGGCGUAAAGGGCGCGUAGGCGAUUUGAAAAGUCUUGUGUGAAAGCCCCGAGCUUAACUCGGGAAGUGCACAAGAAACUGUUGAAUUUGAGUUCCGGAGAGGAAGGCAGAAUUCCCGGUGUAGCGGUGAAAUGCGUAGAUAUCGGGAGGAAUACCAGUGGCGAAGGCGGCCUUCUGGACGGAUACUGACGCUGAGGCGCGAAAGCCAGGGGAGCAAACGGG